AUGGGAACUUAUCUCCAUAGCUAUGCUAACCUAAAGUAGUGGUGGUAAACGAAUCCCAAAGAUUGAUUAGUUCCUUCAUGGGGCUAUACGUUU
rnacentral:snoRNA from 1 species